AGUACGGGCGGAUUCCACGGCCACUCCACGCCCGCAGCCCCUGCACAGGCUGGCUCCAGCCAGUGGUCGGCCACGUGCACAGGGAUCGCCCUUCACGGGUACCGAAGCCUCCAAGAUUGCAGUGGUAAGCGUGGGGUCCAGAUUUCUGUUGCCCUGCACCCAGCGGAUGAGUUCGGACUUCUGGGGCGGGAGCGAGCUGCUCAGCCCCUCCCUAGAGGGGGCAGCGCGACAGUGGGCUGCGGGCGCCGCCUGUGCUGCGUCCAGGGCUGCGCGCUCCGCUCAGCUCUUUCCCGCUUCGAACCGGAGUCCGCGCACGCCGCGCUGCCGCCUCUUCCUAAGCCGCCGCUCGGCUGGCUGCUAGACGCGCGUUCGAUUCUUUUUCCUCAGGCUGACUGAUUUUCGGGUGUGAAGAAUUUCGCCUCGGUCCCUACGAGCAUCUCGGCCUCUCUUCCCCUCCUCUCUGGAUUCCCCCACCCCGUAGGGGAGCGCGCGCGCGCGCGCGCACACACACACACACACACACACACACACACACACACUUCCACUUGCAAACGCGCGUGCGCACGCCCGCGCGCCCCGAGCCGGGGAGUCUCCAGCGCCCCUCAGCAGAUCAUACUCUCUCGGGCGCCGCUACUCACACAGGCUUCCAGCCGCCACGGGGCGUCCCCUAUCUGCGGCGGAGGAGGCGGAGAGAACCGCAGGUACAGCCUGGCCGCUUCUUGCAGCUCCGUGUUCGGGACGGAGUUCGGGAGAAGCGGAGAAGGAGGACACCGAGACAAGGAAGAGCCGCGCCCGGCUCCUGGUAUUGCGGCCCCAGGAGAGACGUUGGUGAACGAGCUUGGGGAGCUGAAGGCGAAGGACGUGGGUCUUUUAUGGAGUGAGACGUGAAAGAGAAAUCCAGACGGGCGCUCCUGAGAGGUGGAGGGUUUAGGGCAUGCUGUGUGUGGUGACAACCCUUCUAGCUGGCAGCAUCUCCUACCUGUGACCUCUUCUGGGAAUUAUCAUCAGGAGCCAACUGCAACCAGCGUUUCUCAGUUCUUGUUCCAAGAAUCACCUGGCAUGUCAAAGCCACACUGUUUUCUGUGGGGCUUCCUCUGUCAACAGCUUCCAUUUAAAAGACUUUUAUGAAUACAUGGUUUCACUCAAGUCCCUGAAGAACAUUAUUUUUCUUCUGAUCUGCUGGAGUUUUUAGGUUUGUGUUAAUUUU